GACGAACGCUGGCGGCGUGCUUAACACAUGCAAGUCGAACGGAAAGGCCCUGCUUUUGUGGGGUGCUCGAGUGGCGAACGGGUGAGUAACACGUGAGUAACCUGCCCUUGACUUUGGGAUAACUUCAGGAAACUGGGGCUAAUACCGGAUAGGAGCUCCUGCUGCAUGGUGGGGGUUGGAAAGUUUCGGCGGUUGGGGAUGGACUCGCGGCUUAUCAGCUUGUUGGUGGGGUAGUGGCUUACCAAGGCUUUGACGGGUAGCCGGCCUGAGAGGGUGACCGGCGACAUUGGUACUGAGAUACGGCCCAGACUCCUACGGGAGGCAGCAGUGGGGAAUAUUGCACAAUGGGCGGAAGCCUGAUGCAGCAACGCCGCGUGCGGGAUGACGGCCUUCGGGUUGUAAACCGCUUUCGCCUGUGACGAAGCGUGAGUGACGGUAAUGGGUAAAGAAGCACCGGCUAACUACGUG
rnacentral:rRNA from 1 species